UGGAGAAGAACCCCUAAACUUUCUUCUCUUCUUAGGGAAAUUGCUUAAGGAUUAGACCAGCCAGCCUUUUCGGAUUUCCUCCGACCACAGGCUAUAUCUGUUGACUCUAGACGGAUGCCCAUUUGUGGCUUCGAGCUUCCACCUGGUGAAAUGAGUGGGUUGGGCUAGGCAACAUUUUAACAGCUUUCUAGCUAAAAUCCUGUGGCUGGCUGACUUCUGAGGCCCCUGUUAGUGCUUACCUUGGAACUAGGCAAUCUGAUACCCUUUCUAGCGCUAAUCCUUUGGCUAGGCAAGCUCAAAGAUAACUUCUAACUCUGACGUUCUGUGAUUCUGUCUAGUUCAGUGUGGUUGAAACGAAACAAGUCUGAUAAAGUGAUCUCAAGGGGUGCGGUUUCAGUUGAGAACUGAUGAUAGAAAAGGAAGAUGUCCAAAGAUAAAAAGCAAGUCUGAAAGCAGGAAGGCAAAUAGAAGGAGGAAGCAAGAGUUGAGAGGAAAUAGAACAGAAGGAAGACAGAUUUCGAUGGAGCCAGCAGGAAAAAACAAAGACUUCAACAAAUAUUAGACACCUGCUAUAUGCAAUGAACCAUGAUACACACUUGGUAUAAAAGACAGAAAGAAAGAAAGAAA